rnacentral:rRNA from 1 species
AGAGUUUGAUCCUGGCUCAGAUUGAACGCUGGCGGCAUGCCUUACACAUGCAAGUCGAACGGUAACGCGGGGCAACCUGGCGACGAGUGGCGAACGGGUGAGUAAUACAUCGGAACGUGCCCAGUAGUGGGGGAUAGCCCGGCGAAAGCCGGAUUAAUACCGCAUACGACCUACGGGUGAAAGCGGGGGAUCGCAAGACCUCGCGCUAUUGGAGCGGCCGAUGUCAGAUUAGGUAGUUGGUGAGGUAAAGGCUCACCAAGCCUUCGAUCUGUAGCUGGUCUGAGAGGACGACCAGCCACACUGGGACUGAGACACGGCCCAGACUCCUACGGGAGGCAGCAGUGGGGAAUUUUGGACAAUGGGCGCAAGCCUGAUCCAGCCAUGCCGCGUGCGGGAUGAAGGCCUUCGGGUUGUAAACCGCUUUUGUCAGGGAAGAAACGGUUUGAUCUAAUACAUCGAACUAAUGACGGUACCUAUGAAUAGCCCCCGCCUUUCCCC